GAUGAACGCUGACAGAAUGCUUAACACAUGCAAGUCUUUGGCGAAGCUGUGCUUGCACAGCCUAGCCAAGGCGGACGGGUGAGUAACGCGUAAGGAACUUGCCCUGCAGUCAGGGAUAACAGACGGAAACGACUGAUAAGACCUGGUAAAGUCAGGCGGCCUCAUGUCCAGCCUGAUGAAAAGAGAUGCUGCAGGAGAGCCUUGCGUCCUAUUAGCUUGUUGGUGGGGUAACGGCCCACCAAGGCGAUGAUAGGUAGCCGGCCUGAGAGGGUGGACGGCCACAAGGGGACUGAGAUACGGCCCUUACUCCUACGGGAGGCAGCAGUGGGGAAUAUUGGACAAUGGGGGCAACCCUGAUCCAGCAAUUCUGUGUGCACGAUGAAGGUUUUCGGAUGGUAAAGUGCUUUCAGCAGGGAAGAAAAAAUGACGGUACCUGCAGAAGAAGCGACGGCUAAAUACGUG
rnacentral:rRNA from 1 species